CCUGGCCGAGGUCAGCGCGCCCUCUGCGUUUCUCCGUGGUCUGGACGGAGGGCCGGCUUCCGCGUACUUCCUCUGCUUCCUCAGGUUUGCCCGGGUUCUUAGCUGAAAGAACCGCGUUAAGGACUGGGCACUGGGACACAGUUGGAAACAUCGGUUAUAUUAUCAAAGCUUUGCCUGGAAUAUCAGAUUUGAGAAUGUGCAUAGAAUCAAACAUGUCAGAAAGUUUUAGGGAACUAAUGAUGACAUUAUGAAGUCAAAAGCCCCUUGGAAGAACAGCCUGGUCUUUUGCUUACAGGGAUUCUGACAGCCUAACCAGGUGAGUAAGGAAAAUCACUUCUCAGUAAGGCAGGAACUUCAAAGACAUUUUGGAGACCUCCAGAAGAGAGGAAUUCACCCAAAUCCAUGGGCAUUGCCUGCAAAGACUGAUGGAUAGGCCUAACUUUGGGAGCCCACCUGCUCACCCACCUCCUAAAAUGAGACACAACUGUUUUACUGAACGGACUUAUUCUCAAGACAGACUGAUUCAGUAAGGUAUGGAGCAGUCUAUCGAUCUGAGCUUCUGAACUGUGAAACUUCUUUACAGUCUCGAAGAUAGGACUGAAAGAAAAGAAAAUAUACCACCCCCAAAUAUGCCUCUUUGUCAUAUGGAUUAUUUUAAGCUGUUUGUUUGUAAGAAACAGUUGUUUCUAAAGUUUCUAGAGUUUUCGUCCUCCCCCUCUUCCUGGUACAGUAAAGAAGGCACCCUGACAACUGGGGAUUUCCCUUAGAAUUGUGAAUAUCUCUUACAAGAGGGUAACCUCUACUCUGUUUUCAGAGCUUCACCUGUGUCUGCUGUUUCUCAAAAAUAACAAGCCCAAGAUAAUCUUAUGCCAAAGGGGCAUAUUUGAGGGUGGCAUAUUCUGCUCAUUUUCAUGUAGAAACUAUACCUCAAAAAAGCUGAUCUUUUUUAAACAUGUGUUUCAGGAAACCAGAAGGUGUAGUCAGAAAGGAAAGUGCAUCAUUUGUUGGGCAGGAUCUGGACACACUGAGUGUGCAAGGAGGAUGAGUUCUCAAGGAGAGAGGCUCUCUAGGCUCCUGGAAAUGUGCCUGGACUUCAGGGUUUCCUAUCUCGAAGCCACCUGGAAAGGGAUGACACUGAAUGCACUCUUUUGAGAAUGAGGGUACCGGGGAGAAGCUGUGAGGAACUGUUACAAUUGUGAGGCACUGGCAUAACAAAGAAGGGGGAAGGGUGGGAGACAGUGGAGAGGAAACAAAUUAACACUGUGCCCUGGAUACCAGGGAGAGUGGGCCAACAUGUUAAAGGAGACAGAAGAGUCACAGACUUGUUUCAAGUUGAGCACUAGAAUUCUCCUUCUCAGUGAACAAGACCAUUCCAGAUAUAAAAUCGUUUAUUUAAUUCUGACUUGAAAUGUGGCUGAGGUGCCCUCUGGUGGUAGUAUCCAAAACCAAAUGUAUACAUAUCAAAUUGUUGAGAAAUAGAUGGCAUCAGCUCUAGUUUUUAUGAGCAUUGACUGUUAGGAGUAAAUCUAAUUAACUUGGAAAAAUCCACUACACUUAGCUAGCAUUUUCUAAAAUAAAGGGCUUGACAGACUUCCAUUUCCUGUCAAGAGAGAGUAACAGGGAUCAGAUUUACCCUCUGUUAAAAACAAGACAAUAGGCCCCAAGUGGAGUCACUUAUACUAAGCUCAAACCAAGCCUUAAUUACAACUUUGGCUUUCACAGAAAUAGAAUCCUAAGCCAGUCAUACAGGCAUUGCCUGAUGAGCAUUAGUUAAGUAAACUGCCUGAUCCAGCCUUGCCAUCCCCCUCAGGGAAGGAAACCUUACAAUGACCAGUCUGCUUUUUUGCCUAUAUAACUUCCAUGUCCCUGCUCCCUUCUGCCUAUAAAAGUCUUUCACUUUGUACAGCUCCUUGGAGCUCUUUUCUUAUCUGCUAGAUUAGAAUCAUAUUCAUGGAUCAUUGAAUAAAACCAAUAAAAAAUUUUUAAAACUUACUUAGCUGAAUUUUAUAUUUUAACAGUUCCCACUGGAAACGAAUUUAAAAAAUCAUACAAAAAAUAUGGAAAUUAUGUUUGACAUAAUGAUUUUCAGAAAUUGGACAUCAGGCAGCACAGGGCAGAGAUCCCUCAAAACAGAAAACAAAUCAGGUGAGGCCUCUGAUUGUCCUGGAGAACGUUUCCAGGCUGCAGCUUAGGGACAAAUAACUCAGUCAGAGCUCUGCAGCCCUUGUGAGUACAGAAACAGAGCCAGGAGUCCAGGAAGGGCAAAAUAGCUAGACUCUACAGGGACAAAUACUAGAAAGGAGAAAACAACAUGGGGGGGGAGCUCCAAAGAUCUGUAGAGGGUCCUGUUCAGUCUUCAGCUGAGAUUGCAUGUUUAUGAGGAAACUGCCCAACACCAGGAAAGAACCGCCUGGGAGGAGCAGAGGGAACAAUCCCUAGAACUCACAAAGAACAAUUCUCACCAGCCAGGGGGGAAAUCCUUGUAAUCCACGAGACACCAGAUAAAGCACACUGUAGUGGGGGCAAAACUAUCCCUAGAGUAAAAGUUGCUCUAGUCCUGACUAGAAAAGCUCAAAAGAAAGCUUCAAAGGUAUCAAACUAUUUCCAAGUAACUUGUCUGUGUCCCAGAAAAAUGUCAAGAAUAUUUAAUAGGAACAAAAAUACAGUCAGCCCCCAACAAGGCAGCAUUCACAAUGUCUGGCAUCCAACCAA